GCCUUCAUGGUGUAGCGGUCAUCACUCUCGGCGGGUAUUCGAGAGGUCCGAGGUUCAAGUCCCGGCGAGAGCA
rnacentral:tRNA from 1 species